rnacentral:rRNA from 1 species
GACGAACGCUGGCGGCGUGCUUAACACAUGCAAGUCGAACGAAGUGGCGAACGGGUGAGUAACGCGUAAUCAACCUGCCCUUCAGAGGGGGAUUACAGUUGGAAACGACUGCUACUACCGCAUACUGCAGUAGGGGAUUGCGUGUGAUUAGCUAGUUGGCGGGGUGACGGCCCACCAAGGCGAUGAUCAGUAGCCGGUCUGAGAGGAUGAACGGCAACAUUGGGACUGAGAAACGGCCCAGACUCCUACGGGAGGCAGCAGUGGGGAAGCUUCCGAAAUGGACGAAAGGCUGACGGAGCAACGCCGCGUGAGUGAUGACGGCCUUCGGGUUGUAAAGCUAUGUUAAUCGGGACGCGGUACCGGAAUAGAAAGCCACGGCUAACUACGUGCCAGCAGCCGCGGUAAUUC